CUAGUUGUGACCGUAAACGAUGCCAACCAGCGAUUCGGCGACGUUCUUUUUAUGACUCGCUGAGCAGCUUCCGGGAAACCAAAGUGUUUCGGUUCCGGGGGAAGUAUGGUUGCAAAGCUGAAACUUAAAGGAAUUGACGGAAGGGCACCACCAGGAGUGGAGCAUGCGGCUUAAUUUGGCUCAACACGGGAAAACUCACCCGUCCCGAACACUGUGAGGAUUGACAGAUCAAGAGCUCUUUCUUGAUUCAGUGGGUAGUGGUGCAUGGCCGUUCUUAGUUGGUGGAGCGAUUUGUCUGGCUAAUUCCGAUAACGAACGAGACUCUGGCCUACUAACUAGCGGCGGUAUUCAUGACUUCCGUGCCUGCGGAGUCGUGCGCGGUUGGCUGCGCAUCAGUCGCCGCGUACGCGCUUCCUGGCCGGGAGCACCAGUACUGGCAGCCGCUUCUUAGAGGGACCAGCGACACUUUCGCAAGCCGCACGAGAAAGAGCAAUAACAGGUCUGUGAUGCCCUUAGAUGGACGGGGCUGCACGCGUGCUACACUGACGGCGUCAGCGUGCGUUCAAGCCUGGCCUGGCAAGGUCGGGAAAUCGGUUGAAACGUUCUCGUGACUGGGACAGGGAAUUGCAAUUAUUUCCCUCGAACGAGGAAUUCCCAGUAAGCGCGAGUCAUCAGCUUGCGUUGAUUA
rnacentral:rRNA from 1 species